rnacentral:rRNA from 1 species
AUGGCUGGCCGGGGACCAGACCUCGACAGGAACGUGUUGCCCUUUGAGCCGGUGUUCUUUGACCUCGAGAAUGGCAACCAGGAGCUCAAGAGCGACGUCAAGGACCUCUACAUCAACCUCGGGCAAGUAACGACAUGUUUGAAGUGGAAAUGGAGAGCAGCGCACGCCGCGGUGGUCAAGGGCUUAGUGCCUGUUGACCUCGUCCGUGGCCGCUGUUGGUCGAUGAAGGAGGCAUGCAUGAGGUGGUGCAAGGGCAUGCUGGUGACGGAGUCGCGCAUCAUGAGGCCGGGUGAGUAA